UGUGCCCUACGGGAGGCAGCAGUAGGGAAUCUUCCACAAUGGACGAAAGUCUGAUGGAGCAACGCCGCGUGAGUGAAGAAGGGUUUCGGCUCGUAAAGCUCUGUUGGUAGUGGAGAAAGAUAGAGGUAGUAACUGGCCUUUAUUUGACGGUAAUUACUUAGAAAGUCACGGCUAACUACGUGCCAGCAUCCGCGGUAAUACGCAGGGGGCAAGCGGUGUCCGGGUUUUUUUGGCGU
rnacentral:rRNA from 1 species